rnacentral:rRNA from 1 species
GCCUUAACAUGCAGGUCGAACGCGUAAAGGGGGGCAACUCCCGAGUAGAGUGGCGAACGGGCCCCUUNAAGAUCGGAACGUAUCCAGCUAGCGGGGGAUAACCUCUCCUAAGAGAGGCUAAUACCGCAUACGACCUACGGGUGAAAGAGGGGGAUCGCAAGACCUCUCACUAUUGGAGCGGCCGAUGUCGGAUUAGCUAGUUGGCGGGGUAACGGCCCACCAAGGCUACGAUCCGUAGCUGGUCUGAGAGGACGACCAGCCACACUGGAACUGAGACACGGUCCAGACUCCUACGGGAGGCAGCAGUGGGGAAUUUUGGACAAUGGGCGCAAGCCUGAUCCAGCCAUGCCGCGUGAGUGAAGAAGGCCNUCGGGNUGNAAAGCUCUUUCNGCGGNGACGAAAAGGNCUGUGUUAACACCACGGAAUCCAUGCACGG